AAGAUAAAUUAGUCUACUCCAUUAAGUAGAUUCCAAUUCCUUCAAAUGAAGGGAUCCAAACGGAGCCUCAUAGUACUUACUAUGUAUGUAGACAUAAUAUACGUAGAUGCAUAGUUAAAAUUAUGCACCUAGAAAAAUUAAAACUAGCUAUAAAUUGGGACGGAGGGAGUAUGACAAAGGUUAUACUUGUAUAUUUUUGCAAACCGUAGUUCCUGAUUCUGAGCCUACCCGUCCGCCGCUGUCGUCUGUCGGCCAGUCGUUUGUUUGGAACCCCGACCUCAACGGCCAACCCUCUUGGCACGUCCUGCGUCCGCCGCGCCGUCUCUCUGCUCACCUGACGAUGAGAAGUCGGCUUCUAUAACCUGCGGUUACACUUUCCUUCUCUCCUCGACGACGCAUGACGUUUUGCAACUGCACUUAGACAUCAAAUCUCCUUUUUCCUAAAACAAAACCCCUGCUCAAUCACAAUCAGCUCCAAGUGCUUAUGGCCUGACACUUGCACUAGGUUAUGCUCUAGUAUUUCUUGAUGGCGUCUCCCAGUUCAAUCAGUCAACAAUGCUGGCUCUGGCUGGUGUGAACUCGCCCUUUGGCGGUUUUGGCCUUUCCCGAUAAGGUUAACCUCGAGAGGGACCAAAUCCAAACUAUGGCCUUCCAAGUUGCCCCUUCUCCUUUCCUGGCCUGGCCAUACGAGCAUGUGACGUCAGCCGACUCCUCACAGCAAAUCCAUCUGCUAGCUUUGCUCAAUCAUGCGCCGCCACUACAUGUUAUUAAAAUUUAUCUGGCCUGUUACUUCUCUUUUUUCCCCCCACUCCUUUCUGUACUUGGUUGAUGCUGAAAUCAGGCUUCGAUGGAUGGAUGGAUGGAUGGCAAAGAGGAAGCACGACCUCUGUGUGGAGGUGUGUGACCUCUUGACUCCUGUCAGAGUAGCUGUGCUCGGGGCUUCGGCCGUUGAAUCGCUUUCUCCAUGCUGCAGAUCGUGUCGGUGUCUGUUCUGUUCUGAAACCUGAAUUGUUGGGUGAACAAAGGUUCAGUCAUCGGAAUUGCCUCACGGCUGUUCUGGAAAAGUGGGAAACGAUGGUGACUGUUCAUUCUUGGGGAACUACUGCAAUUGGUAGCACAUCCUACUCAAAGUUUUACUGUGCGAUACUAUACAACUUUCUUACAUUUCAAUCCCUGAAAAUUUGUGAGAACAAAAAAAUCAAUUACCCCGUUUUCGUUAGGUAUAGAUGUUUGACUGACGCUUUCACACAGCAGGCGGGGGAACUAACCGACAUCAGAGCAGUUUCUUAUGAGCGGCCAAGAUUGCGACGGCUGAAAAGAACCUGAAAACUUACCGGCUAAGUGUUUGCAAACAACAAAAAAGGGUGGGGACUCUUGAGUCCCUUCCAACUGAAUCAACACCAAGGGAUGUUCGGCACGGCGUCUCCCAAUGUGCUCCCUCG
rnacentral:lncRNA from 1 species